rnacentral:rRNA from 1 species
UACAGAGGUCUCAAGCGUUGUCCGGAAUCAUUGGGCGUAAAGAGCGUGUAGGCGGUCCGGUAAGUCCGUUGUGAAAGUCAGGGGCUCAACCCUUGAAUGCCGGCGGAUACUGUCGGGCUAGAGUCCGGAAGAGGCAAGUGGAAUUCCCGGUGUAGCGGUGAAAUGCGUAGAUAUCGGAAGGAACACCAGUGGCGAAAGCGGCUUCCUGGUCCAGCACCGACGUCAGGCACGAAAGCGUGGGGAGCAAACAGG